rnacentral:rRNA from 1 species
GACGAACGCUGGCGGCGUGCUUAACACAUGCAAGUCGAACGAAGAGCGAUGGAAGCUUGCUUCUAUCAAUCUUAGUGGCGAACGGGUGAGUAACGCGUAAUCAACCUGCCCUUCAGAGGGGGACAACAGUUGGAAACGACUGCUAAUACCGCAUACGAUCUGACCUCGGCAUCGAGGAUAGAUGAAAGGUGGCCUCUACAUGUAAGCUAUCACUGAAGGAGGGGAUUGCGUCGGAUUAGCUAGUUGGAGGGGUAACGGCCCACCAAGGCGAUGAUCAGUAGCCGGCCUGAGAGGAUGAACGGCCACAUUGGGACUGAGACACGGCCCAGACUCCUACGGGAGGCAGCAGUGGGGAAUCUUCCGCAAUGGACGAAAGUCUGACGGAGCAACGCCGCGUGAGUGCUGACGGCCUUCGGGUUGUAAAGCUCUGUUAAUCGGGACGAAAGGCCUUUUUGCGAAUAGUGAGAAGGAUUGACGGUACCGGAAUAGAAAGCCACGGCUAACUACGUG